rnacentral:rRNA from 1 species
AGCGAACGCUGGCGGCAGGCCUAACACAUGCAAGUCGAGCGCCCCGCAAGGGGAGCGGCAGACGGGAGAGUAACACGUGGGAACGUACCCUUCAGUUCGGAACAACCCAGGGAAACUUGGGCUAAUACCGAAUACGUCCGUAAGGAGAAAGAUUUAUCGCUGAAGGAUCGGCCCGCGUCUGAUUAGCUAGUUGGUGAGGUAACGGCUCACCAAGGCGACGAUCAGUAGCUGGUCUGAGAGGAUGAUCAGCCUCACUGGGACUGAGACACGGCCCAGACUCCUACGGGAGGCAGCAGUGGGGAAUAUUGGACAAUGGGCGCAAGCCUGAUCCAGCCAUGCCGCGUGGGUGAUGAAGGCCCUAGGGUUGUAAAGCCCUUUCGGCGGGGAAGAUAAUGACGGUACCCGCAGAAGAAGCCCCGGCUAACUUCGUGCCAGCCGCCGCAGUAAAAC